rnacentral:tRNA from 1 species
GCGCCCGUAGCUCAGUGGAUAGAGCACCAGCCUCCGGAGCUGGGUGUCGCGCGUUCGAUCCGCGCCGGGCGCACCA